rnacentral:tRNA from 1 species
AUUUUGGCAGAUUAGUGCAAUAAAUUUAGAAUUUAUUUAUGUGAGUUAAUUCACAAAUAGAA